rnacentral:rRNA from 1 species
GAUGAACGCUGGCGGCGUGCCUAAUACAUGCAAGUCGAGCGAACGGACGAGAAGCUUGCUUCUCUGAUGUUAGCGGCGGACGGGUGAGUAACACGUGGAUAACCUACCUAUAAGACUGGGAUAACUUCGGGAAACCGGAGCUAAUACCGGAUGAUAUUUUGAACCGCAUGGUUCAAAAGUGAAAGACGGUCUUGCUGUCACUUAUAGAUGGAUCCGCGCUGCAUUAGCUAGUUGGUAAGGUAACGGCUUACCAAGGCAACGAUGCAUAGCCGACCUGAGAGAGGGAUCGGCCGCACUGGAGGUGGGACACGGUCCAGACUCCUACGGGAGGCAGCAGUAGGGAAUCUUCCGCAAUGGGCGAAAGCCUGACGGAGCAACGCCGCGUGAGUGAUGAAGGUCUUCGGAUCGUAAAGCUCUGUUAUUAGGGAAGAACAGAUGUGUAAGUAACUGUGCACAUCUUGACGGUACCUAAUCAGAAAGCCACGGCUAACUACGUG